UCCGAAGCAAAUGGAGUGCACCAACACCUUCCGCUGAGCUGAUAGCCUAAUAGAGGGCUCUCGACCUAUCUAUCGGGACCUGCAAGCAUGAAAUGCAAUGUUCCUAGGUAAAAGGGAUGUCAGUUCGAAUAAUGUACUGAGUAUGUAAAGCACAUAAAUAAGUACAUAACAGACAUAAAAGAAAUAUGGAGUAAAUGACUCAGCCUGUAAGCCUGGAUAAUUCUGUAACUCAUGAAGUAAUUAUAAUGUCAUGCAUAUGCAUAUGAAUGUCAUGUCGUGCAUAGAUACAUAUUUCAUAACAUCAUCAGGCCUCUGAGGGCAUCCCAUCACAUCAUCUCGGCCACUAUGAGCAAAAUCAUCAACGUAUCCCAGCUGAUCAGGUGGUGGUACGUAUAUAACGCCGUAAUCUUUUCCUAUAUAUAUAUAUAUGCCAUCUGGUCAUGGGUCAAUGUGCAUAUAUAAAUGCAUGAGAUGCAUAUGAAAUGCGUUAACAAAAUCUCUCGGUACGUCAUAAGAACAUUAAGCUUCUAAUUAAUAUCAUGAAAUAAACUUUACCAACUUACGUAUUUUUGAGACCCAUGAACAGAUGAUAGAAUAAUAUGACACAUGGAAAAUAAGAAUAUACACAUCUCUAGCAUUUCUAUGAAUAGAAUAAUUUAUGGAAGUUGUGCAUUUGCUCGUUUCAUUUGUAUUUUACAGAUCAUGCCAAAAAGAAAGAAAGAAAGGAUAGCCUUAACAUAUCUAGAGUAGGAAAAAUCCGCAUGAUGUUUUUGGAAAAGGUUGCACCGUACUCCUUUAGAAUCGCAGAAUUUUACAUUGCUACGGUUUCUAAAAUUCUUUGUUAGACUGUUGAAGAUUUACGUUGCUAAUAUGAAUGAAUAACGUUACUUAAUGAAAGGUUUAGGAUUUGAUUUCAUUCUCUUUGAGAAUGAAACUUGAUUUAGUUUUAAUCAAUUGUAUGUAUGCAGUGUGGAAAGUGUUGGAGAAGGAGAACAAAGAAUUCUUUGAGGCAUACAAUAAAACAAGAGAGGAAAAAUCAUCAUCAAUAUUAUCAGCAGAAUCACAAUUAGAGAGGACAAGACAAAGAAUCCAUAAUAUCUUGUUGGAUUCUUCUUCUAAAGAUUCCAAUGAAAAGUGACAACAAUUAUUAGUAGAAUUUUCAAAAUGACUGCCUUCCUCUCUAUUCUUUGGACAAUGAUGUUUGAUGUAAACUUUCAAAAACUAGCUCAAUGAUUAGUCUCAUGUACAUUAACUUACAACUCAAACGGUUGUAUUUAGUCUAGGUUAAUAAGACAAAGAGAUAGGGUUUUAUUAUAACUUGAAAAUUGUUAAAGAUUAAAUGCUUUGUUGCUAGCAUAUUAGGUGGCCACUUAAAAAGAAUGGCUAAGAGUCAUUCCUUUGGAAUGUAUCUUGCUGCCACAUGGGGGUGGGGGUUGGGGUGAGAAAUUUAAUCUUUAUCCACUUAUUAGUUAAUUAGGUAAUAUCCCCUUACCCGAUAAUUAACCAAUAACCCGAAUAACUAAAAAUUAUCUCAAAUUACUUAAAAUUAUACUUAUUUUUAAUAUACUUUAUACAUCAUACUACCGUGGUCAUAUGGUACCUUGUAUGAUACUAGUCCAUAAAUACCGGGUAUUAUGGCUCGGACCAUAUUUUAUUCCAAUUCGACAACCUUCAACAAAAUUCAUUUUUUUGAUUCGUUUACACUUUAUCCUUCACGGCACUUACUUAUUGCUUGUUAUAAAUAACAUAAAUGUGUAUAGCCUCAAGAUAGUCUCAGCCCCGAGUCUACGUCGAUUAACUGAAGACAAAACUUUAACAUACGAAAAUGCAGGAUGUAACAUCUCAUUUUCCUAGCUUCCAUCAAUUUACUUACGACGUACAUUCACGUACAAAAAUAUGGGAUGUAACAUUAUUCCCCCUCCCCCCUCCCAUUGGAACAUUUGUCCUCGAAUGUUGACUGAUGCACUUAUCAUUUUCAUAACUUCUGCCUUCCAAAUAAUUUAGUAUUCUCCUUGCCAUCUAGGCAACUGUUCUGUGAAUAAUUCCAAAGGCCAGGGCAUUCCCCCCUUUAGGCCUCUUUCUCACGUCAUGACUUAUGGUCGGAAUCCUUCCAAUCCCGUAACUGUUGUUACCUUCUAUCAUGCAGCCUGUACGACUUUGACCUUGUAAGUGCGCCUAUGCGACUCUUUUCCUCUUUUUCCUCCAACUUUUGGCCAAUCUCUAGGCCCACUUUGUAAACAUAUACAGAGCUUGACAAGAUGUCCUUCUGGGCAUCUAUAGGUACACUAAAAGAAUAUUGUUAUAAAUUUUUUCAUAGAUCCGUUUAUCCAUACAUAUGACUUUACUGCCAUAACUCUUAUUUUGAUUUAUCAUUACUGCGGUUUACUACCAAACUCCAGGUUACUCUUGUUGCUUAUCCUAUAUGUAUAAAUCUGUGUCCUUUAAUGCUCCCUUAUUACUGUUCAUCUUAAGAAUGACGGCCUAAUCUCAUCUCAUACUUUGUGACUUUUGUCCAUCUAUUGUUGAUUUACCUUGUGUGGGUAAAUUAAUCCCGUAAAAUUCAUGAAUCCCUUUCUUCAAAUCAUUACGUAAUCGAAGGCCCAAACACCAUCCUUUAUCUACCACAAUUACACCCUUAUUCUACUAUUCAGGCAAUAUUCCAUCUCUUCUAAAUGCUACUUAUGAUGAGUAACUCCUUUGAGUUUAUUUCGGCUAUAUUGAGCUUUCUAUAACUUCGAGAAAUCACCAGAUCUCUUAUUUUCAUGGGCUUAAUGCCGAGAACUUAUCCGUUUCUCAUUACCUUCCCACUCGCUCUUUCUUGUCCUUAUUCCUGUCUUCCUAAAACCUUAUCGCUUUAUCAUACUUUAGCUUGCGUCCUAUAUAUAUCUAUUUAUACUACUCACAACCUUCCUUCAACUUGCUUGCAUCAUAGAUUUCCUUAUGUCAUUCUGGAAUAUCAAGCGAAACAUCACAUCGUAUCUAACUCUUCCUUCUCUCUUAAUUAGCCUCUUCGAUACCUAGAAACCAUAGGUUGAAAGAUAUACCACUGACGAUGCCGCUAUAUAUACUGAAUCCCAGCGCUUCUAGCCUUCUAUCCGAAGUAUGGACUAUUCACAACCUUCUAUAUUUGAUUAUCUCGUACGCUAUUCAUCUUUUAUCUUACUUACCUUAAAACCUCGCAUCGUAUCUUCUAUCUCUUUCAUGACCUCCCUUCCACAUAGUAUAAUUCACGUCCAUAACUUAAAGUUCUAUUAUAGUACUUGCACCUCUGGUGCGUACAUAAUCCGAUAGGAGCUCCAUAAUGAAUUCUUAUGAGGCUGGUAGUUUUCUAACUGGCUCUAUCGUAGAGCCGUUAUAGAAUAUGACUACUGUACUAUUUCUUUUGUACUUCUGAUGUUAAGAGAGGUUCUACAAUGUUCUCAAUAAUGAUGCUUGUAACUUUCUGGGUCCAAUAAGCAGACUCCUAAUUUACUUAGUUGAUAUAACUCUUUAGUUUCCUCUUUCUUCUGAUUGGCCUUUAUGUUGGCUUAAGUUAUCUCCCGAUUUGUGGUUCAUGGUAUUGUUAUUCUGUUUAGCCUUUCAUGGGCGCUAAGGAAUAUGCAUGAUGCAAUCCUUUAACAAUCUAAUCUCUCGCCUAAGUCCUGGGCUCAAUUCUUUCUUUUAACGUAUACCAAAAUCUUCUACGGUUAUAUAUCCUGCAUGUGUAUAACUCCGAACCCUUACGUGUGUUCAUAACGUAACCCACUCUGGAUGACUGAUCAAAUAAUUUCUUUCGUUUCAUCUUAGCUUUCUUUCAACGUAAGCUUUUACUUUUCCUAGUCUUCGUGCCCCCUUGUUGCGUCCAUACUUAGCUUAUCUUAGUGCCCGUAUUUGCCAGAGUUUUCAUACAACUCAUAUGAUCUUGAAUAUUAUUUUUAUUUUACUUCCCGUUCAUUAGCCAAGGUAGGUGCCACUUUCCUUUGGAGUGCUUACAACGUUGUUGCGAGACUAUUGUUACAUGACCAUUUACUCUUUAGGUCGUCGUGCUUAGGUUGAAGCCUUCUUCCUUAUCUCCUCAGCUAGUCUUUAUUUGUAGUACUUAGGGAGAACCCUUGAAUCUCGUAAAGUUGUGAGCUUAUUACAGACCUUUUUGAUAUCCUUCCUUGCCUGUAAUCAUCUGUAGUUGCUUACCUCCGUGCCCUUAUGCUUGUAGGAUUGUUUCUGAACUCAUAUUUUGAUUUCCUUCCCAGUGGCACUUUCUUUUAUCCCCCUAAUAUCAUACGGUACCUUUAACUACCCCGACUCCUAUUUGGAUAUAUCUCAAGUAUUAUAAUGACAAUACUGUGAGGCUGAAUUCUCCAUGUUGGGUUUUACUAUGUUUAUCUUACACGAUCUGCUGACUCGUGUGUAACCUCUCAUUUAGCCAUAACUAGGCUCUUCCUGAUCAAUUACUAACUACUCGUUGGCCCAUUCUCACAUCAACAUUCCACGUAAUCUUUCUUGGGUUAUUUCCUUUGUAUUAACUUAAAUCUUGCACAUGCUCCUUAUUUAUUAAUAACAGCUCGGGCAGGAACCUUUACUUCCUCUCCUAAAUGCCGUUCUUGAACAAUAUUCCGGAAUCGUAGCGUAUCUAUAGGAUUUUAAAUAAAUGCCAUCUCAUUUUUUAUCGCAUUCUUCCUUUACCAUUCCAUAGUCACUAGAACCACUAAAUUCUGAUUUAAUGCCACAUCACUCCAUAUUUCCCCCUUAGGGGAGUACUAAGAGUUGAAGCCACGAGGAUCUACCUAUAGAUGUUUUACCUCUUCAUCUUUGGUGCCGUUUCACAACAUUAAUGAUCCUUACUCACCUUGAGGCAAUAUUUCUGUACCAAGGAUAACAAAUUCCCUUACUCGCGAUGGUGACACUUAGCGCAACCAGCACAUACAGUACCUUAAGCUUAACUUUGCUCACAUUACUUACUUUAGGGAAACAUCUUCCUGAAUGACCUUUCUCUGAAUUUCUUAUGGAUCACCUUCUGUUGUCCAUUCUAUUAUGGCCGGAACGCAAUAUGAAAUUCUCAUGAUGCCGGCCAUUAUCAAAUCACUCAGCUUUAAUUCAUGUUUAGUUUACCUUGUUCACUAGCCCAUACUGAUUUCUAUUACUCUGAGGUCUAACUUUUUCUUCUGGUAGUCGCGUUGGAGUCACGAGCUUAUUUCUCGAAAUGAGGAUAUGACUUUAUGGCAUGUAUUAUUUUGUUGUCUCAAGGCCUGUCACCUGUCGUCCCUUUUUUUUCAUUUGACUAUAGAUUCUAUAACAUUCUACUGUUGUCACCCAUGUAUCACAUCUUACUCAUAAUUCUUCCUUAUCCCUCUUCUCAUUACUCUGCUAAUCUUUCUGCCUAUCCCUUUCUUGUGAAAACUUCAACAAGAUAUUCUUUCGCUUUUAGCUCUCCUUGCUUCAUUCAUCGGCUCCUCGGGUUGCUCAUCCUUGCUCUACUAGUGACGAGAGCCAUACUAAGGUAAUAUUUAUUCCUUCCAGGAUUCCAGUGCCUGUCUUUGAACAUUCCAAUAUUCAUAUCUAGUUGUAUUAUUCUAGAGUGCACCAUCUGGGUGUCUCAAAAGGAGAUCCAUUAGCACAUUUGCAAUAUCCCUCGGAAAUGUCAACUAACGUAAACAAUCCAUCAAUUAUCUUGGGUUACUCUAACCCCAAUCGGAUUCCGAUGUUCCAUCCUUUUCUUAAUCUACACCUGUUAACCCUUAUAUGGCAUAACUGAGAUGGGUGCGACCAAUUGUACAUACCUUUGUUAUUAAUGAAGGUAACUCAAAAUGCUUAUAUUUCUCUUCCUGUAUUGUAGGUAAUGUUCAUCUCUACUAAUUAGGUACCUCGUAUCCUUCUUCACCUUGCUUCUUCUAUUUGUUGAAACUUGUGUCUACCUUCCGAUUCUCUUAUUCCUUACUGUAAGAGCGGAUAGACAUUCUCGCCUUAGGGAUCCUUAUAAAAAAGCUUGCACAUCUUAGUGUCCUCAUGUUCUGCUGGAGACCUUACAUUCAUCAUAAGCAUGGUGCAAAAUCGAGUUCCUCUGACUCAAUUCUUCCAUAGCUACAUUCAAUCCCUUACCAAGCAUCUUUCUAGAUGUAGGCAUUGUCGUAUUAUGAAUAAUAUAGAAUUUAGGAAAUUGAGUUCUUACAAUCGAACUCUACCACACGAUCUAGAGUAAGAAGAAAGAGUAACAGUCCUAAAUGUCCUGUAGCCUCCAGCUUAUAAGUGUGGUGCACGACACACCCAUAAACAAGACUCUACUAGACACUGCUUGUAGAUUCCUUAGGCCAGAACUGCUCUGAUACCACUUUUGUCACGAUCCAAACCGAUGGGCCGAGAUGGGCACCCGGUAUCUUACUCAAUCGAGCACCAAUAUAACGUAUCUUUUCAUGCCAAACUAUCAUAGAUAACUAAGCCGGAAGGCGGCCGUGAGAUAAGUAAAAUACAACAUGUGAUACCAACUUAUAUAUAAUACAUAUGGGCCUAUAAGACCAAAAUAACCAUUCGUAUAUUGAACAUAGGCUGACAAGGCCAUAAUAAUAUUUUACGUACAUGACAUUUGUCUACAAGCCUCUAAGAAUACAUCAUUUUCAUAAAGAACAAUACACGUCUAAAUCAUACCAACCAAACAAGCAACUCCGAAGCAAAUGAAGUGCACCAACACCUUCCGCUGAGCUGAUAGCCUAAUGGAAGGCUCUCGACCUGUCUAUCAGGACCUGCGGGCAUGAAACGUAGUAUUUCCUGGCAAAAGGGACGUCAGUACGUGUACCGAGUAUGUAAAACACAUAAAUAAGUACAUAACAGACAUAGAAGAAAUAUGGAGUAAAUGACUAAGCCUGUAAGUCUGGAUAAUUCUGUAAUUCGUGAAGUAAUUAUAGUGUCAUGCAUGUGCGUAUGAAUUUCAUGUCAUGCAUAGGUACAUGUUUCAUAAUAGCAUUAGGCCUCUGAGGGCAUCCCAUCACAUCAUCUCGGUCAUUGUAGGCAAAAUCAUCAACGUAUACCAGCUGAUCAGGUGAUGAUAUGUAUAUAACGCCGUAACCUUUUCCCAUAUCUUAUAUACAUACACACACACACACACACACACACACACACACAUAUAUAUACGACCUCUGAUUAAUAUCAUAAAAUAAACUUUACCAACUUACGUAUUUUUGAGACCCAUGAACAAAUGAUAGUAUGACACAUGGGAGAAUAAGAAUAUACACAUAUCUAGCAUUUCCACGAAUAGAGUAAUUUAUGGAAUUUGUGCAUUUGCUCGUUUCGUUUGUAUCAUGCGGAUCAUGCCAAAAAGAAAGAAAAGAUAGCCUUAACAUACCUAGAGUAGGAAAAAUUCGUAUGAUGUUCUUGGAAAAGGUUGCACCGUACUCCUUUAGAACCGCAAAAUUUUGCAUUGCUACGGUUUCUAAAAUUCUUCGUUGGACUGUUGAAGAUUUAUAUUGCUAAUAUGAAUGAAUACCGUUACUUAAUGAAAGGUUUAGGAUCUGAUUUCAUUCUCUUUGAGAAUGAAACUUGAUUUAGUUUUUAUCAAUUGUAUGUAUGCAGUGUGGAAGGUGUUGGAGAAGGAGAACAAAGAAUUCUUUGAGGCAUGCAAUAAAAUGAGAGAGGAAAAAUCAUCAUCAAUAUUAUCAGAAU
rnacentral:lncRNA from 1 species